rnacentral:rRNA from 1 species
AUUGAACGCUGGCGGAAUGCUUUACACAUGCAAGUCGAACGGUAGAGGGGGCAACCCCUCGAGAGUGGCGAACGGGUGAGUAAUAUAUCGGAACGUGCCCAGUCGUGGGGGAUAACGUAGCGAACGUUACGCUAAUACCGCAUACGAUCUAAGGAUGAAAGCGGGGGAUCGCAAGACCUCGCGCGAUUGGAGCGGCCGAUAUCAGAUUAGGUAGUUGGUGGGGUAAAGGCCCACCAAGCCAACGAUCUGUAGAUGGUCUGAGAGGACGACCAGCCACACUGCAACUGAGACACGGUCCAGAUUCCUACGGGAGGGAGCAGUGGGGAAUUUUGGACAAUGGACUCAAGUCUGCUCCAGCCAUUCCGCGUGCAGGAUGAAGGCCCUCGGGUUGUAAACUGCUUUUGUACGGAACGAAAAGGUCUCUCUUAAUACGGGGGGCUCAUGACGGUACCGUAAGAAUAAGCACCGGCUAACUACGUGCCAGCCGCCGCAGUAA